GCAAUAGCUCAGUUGGUAGAGCAUGAGACUCUUAAUUUGAGGGUCAUGGGUUCAAGCCCCAUGUUGGGCA